UUUCUGAAAAAUUGAUAUUUUAGGAGUUACCGUCAUUUUUGCAUUUAUAUUUUUGUAUUUCGUAUUCCCUAUGCUAAAUUUUAUUCGCUCACUACUUAGUUGCAGCUGCACGGCUUAUCUCAUUUUGAUAAGCUCCGAUUUCUUCCACAGCGUCUCAACUCCUCAGUUGCCCCAUGGAUGCUAAAUGGUAAUUGCCUUUAUGUUCUCAGUUUUUUUCUUGUCAAAAUCUUGUGAAGAAAAAAUUGUGGAAAUAGACGUGUAAUUGUGCUAGACGUGUUUAAGUAGAGUUGACAAUUCUGACGUGUGAUUUGUGUAAAGGUGUGAUCUUGUGUUAAAGAAACGGAUUAAGCGACAUAUCACCUCGUCUGACCCAGCACAAAGCACCAUGUACGUUGACGGCGAAAACUAUGGAGGUUUCACCACCUUCUUCCAGUGGGCAGCAAUCGAUUACGGUCCAGAGGACAUGUUCCGCCUGUCCUUUCUGAUUGGGGCUGUGGCCGCCACCGACCAUCCUGUCAUGGCUCUGGGUACCAUCCGCAUCAUCGAAGAGAGGUGCGGUUUUUUGCCUCCUGAGCUGAAGUUGGCUAGGGCCUUCCUUCAGUCACUCUUGCUUGACCCUGGGAUCUUGAGGCUGCCCAACGCCGCCGAAAUAGAGGUUCUAUCAGAGAACCUUGACAGUAUAGCUCGGUCCGUUUUCAGCCUCAGACCAACGAUGGGUGCAUUUUCCCGCUACAACUGAGAGGCUUUUUAUUCAGAGAAAAAAAAUAAAUAACUCCUUUCUUUAAAAUUUUGUAUUUAUUUCUUAGACCCCUUUUUCCGACUAGGGUUUC